UAGCCAUCAAUGGAGUGGCCGAUAUGAAGGAGGUGAUAAAUCAAUCCAAGCGUCCAUUAACACCUCCACAAACCGCAUACACCAUCUGCCCAACAAGGCAACUUUAAGCUAUCCUCCCCCAUUAGAUGGCCAAACCAAUUCCUUCACCUCUCUAUGAAAAAAUCCCCCAGAAAAACACACUCCAUAGAGCCUCGGACGUCACCAUUUUCUUCCUUCUCCUCUCCCUCCUUGCUUACCGUCUCCUCUCCCUAAAAAACAAUGGCUUCACUUGGCUCCUCGCCUUCCUCUGCGAGUCAUGGUUCACCUUUAUUUGGAUUCUUAACUUGAGCUCCAAAUGGAAUCCUGUGUCCUACAAAACAUACCCUGAGCGCCUUCUACAAUGUUAUCGGUAUCCAAUAAUUCUCUUAGUAAAACUCUUCAUGUGCUUUGGUGUUUUUUUCUGCCUCCAAAUUUUAUAUAUAGUCAUACUUAUGAUUUUCUGAACAGAGUUGAUGAGCUUCCUCCAGUGGACAUGUUUGUGACAACUGCAGAUCCCAUGCUGGAACCCCCGAUCAUCACUGUAAAUACUGUUCUCUCCUUGCUGGCAGUUGACUAUCCGGCUAACAAGCUUUCUUGCUAUGUGUCCGAUGAUGGGGCUUCCCCUCUCACCUUCUUCGCUCUCCUUGAAGCAUCCAAGUUUGCUAAGCUUUGGGUUCCUUUCUGUAAGAAGUAUGGUAUUCAACCUAGAGCUCCCUUUAGAUACUUUUCCAGAGAGUUGUUACCAUCCCAUGAUAAUUCAAUGGAGUUCCUGCAAGAAUACAGAAAGAUAAAGGUACGCGCACUAUUCCUAGUAGGAAGUAGGAACCAUAAGUGGAGAUUAAUUAUAUUAGUUCAACUUAGUGCAAUUAUUUAUUUAUUUAAUAACAGUUAUUAGAAUGCAGAUGAUCCUGAAUUUAGAAUUUUCUUUUCCUUUAAUUUAUUGACUAUCUUUCUUUUUUUAUUCUUUUUAUACAUAAAAUCUCCUUAAAAAAAUAAAAUAAAAUUCCACUAGCAAGUAAGUUACGUGUCCAAGUAUAUCUUCUCUACAUCAUGUUACAAUGAUGCUUUGAGAAUAGCUUUUGUAGAUAUCUGCCUUACAUUUAAGCAAUUUUCUUUUUCUUCAUCCCCUUGUAGGAAGAAUAUGAAGAACUUAGACGAAGAAUUGAAGACGCAACCGUGAAGUCAAUAUCAUAUGAGCUUAGUACUGCAGAUUUUGUCGCUUUCUCAAAUAUAAAAAAAGGAAGCCAUCCAACUAUAAUCAAGGUAUGUUUAAAGAUAUAACUAGCUGAUUUGUUUACUUAUGAUUACCAUUAUUAGGUCUAUUUGGAUUGAUUUCUCAUAAGCUAAAAAGCAAAAUUUUUAAGUUCAAUAAAAAAUUCUAUAUAUAUUUGAUUAAUUUUAUGCUUAUGGCUCAAGAAAGUGCUCAAUAUAAAAGUCUUGAAAAUGUCAUAUUCUAUGUUUAAUAAAAACUUUACGAUAUCAAUAUUACUUUAAAAAAAUUAUGAUCUUAGCUUUAACUUUAUGUUGCAGAUAAAGAUAAAAACAAACAACCUCAAAUAGGUUCUCAAUUGUUACAUAAUAAGGGCCCACUAAAGCUAAUUAUAUGAGAUUAAAAUGAUAGUAUAAAGCUAUUUGUUUUUGUCUUUUUCUAUUUUAUAAAUUUUUUUUUUUUAAAAGUAACCUUUUUUAAUUAAUAAAAAAUUGUCAUGUGAGAAAAAGUCUCAUUUCUCAGUACAUUGAUUUAUACUCCAUUUCUUUGUACUUGUUGUAUGGUUAGAUUAAAAGUUCAAUAUGAUACUAAAUUUAAUAAGCUUGCCAUGAUCUCUAGUUAUACACAAAAUUAAAUAACAUUAAUUUUUUGCAAAAGCAUAAGCAUUUAAAUAUUUUGCCCGUGGAUUAGUAUUUUUUUUUAAAAAAAAAAAAGUAACCAAUUUAAGCUAUAACCAUUUGGUUACAACACGAGAGGGCUAGGGAGUGGUGGUAGAGGAAGUAUUUGACAACAUUUCUAUAACCAUGAAUGGUGACUUUGUAGGUUAUAUUGGAGAACAAGGAGAGCCGCUCUGAUGGGUUGCCACAUCUAGUCUAUGUAUCCAGAGAGAAGCAUCCCAAGCAUCCACACCAUUACAAAGCGGGUGCCAUGAAUGUUCUGGUAAGGAAGCCCCUUGAAUUGGUAUAAUUACUGAUAUUCCUUCUUUUCCCCUGAUUAUUUCAUGAUAAACAGACCAGAGUCUCUGGUGCUAUGACAAAUGCUCCUUUCAUGCUGAACGUAGACUGUGAUAUGUACGCCAACAAUCCACAGAUUUUUCAUCAUUCAAUGUGUUUGCUCCUCGGUUCCAAGAAUGAACAGGACUGCGGGUUUGUUCAGACUCCACAAUCCUUCUAUGAUGGACUAAAGGACGACCCAUUUGGAAAUCAGUUUGGAGUUUUGUAUAAGGUAUGCCAAAUUUCUAUAGUGAAGAGUGAUCUCUUCCAUACUAUAGAGCACACGUACUAGAAGCCUCUUUUAUUUUUUCAUUAAUUGAUAUCUUUGCUGAAUCAGUAUGUAGUAAGUGGAAUAGCAGGGCUUCAAGGACCUAAUUAUUCUGGAACGGGAUGUUUUCAUCGAAGAAAAGUUAUCUAUGGGUUAUGGCCAGAUGGAAGGAUGGAGUUCAAAGGAAGAAUUGGUAUGCAAUCAAUUUAUUUGUCUUAUGUAUCAUUUUAAUUUCCUUACAGGGAUCUUAAAAUGUUAUAUGAAACUAAGCAUUGCAGUUUUCCCUACUUUUUGGUGGGAAAAUUAACAGAUGAGAGAUUAGAAAAAACAUUCGGAAAUUCAAAGGAAUUCACAAAAACAGCUGCAAGGAUUUUAUCAGGGUUGAGUGGGAUUUCGGAUUGUCCAUAUGAUCUUUCGAAUCGGGUUGAGGCAGCACACCAAAUUGCAAGUUGCAGCUAUGAGUAUGGAACUAACUGGGGUACAAAGGUGAGCUGUCAAUAGUUAGAACAACAAGAAUAGUACCAUGUUUUUUGAAAAGAAACUCAACUAGAAGUUACAUGCAUUAUGUGACUAUCCAUGUUCAGAUUGGUUGGUUAUAUGGAACUACAACAGAAGACAUCCUCACAGGUAUGAGGAUACAUGCAAGAGGUUGGAAAUCCACAGAUUGCCGGCCUGACCCUCCUGCAUUUCUUGGGUGCGCACCCUCAGGCGGGCCUGCUGCACUUAUCCAACAGAAGAGAUGGGCCACUGGCCUCCUUGAGGUCCUGUUCAGCAAGAACAGCCCAUUCAUUGUCACCUUCACUGCAAAGCUCCAAUUUCGCCAAUGCCUUGCAUACAUGUGGAUUAUUUCAUGGGGUUUAAGGCCAAUUCCCGAGCUUUGUUAUCUUGCUUUGCCAGCAUAUUGCAUCAUGGCCGGCUCACAUUUCUUGCCCAAUGUGAGCAAAACUAAAACCAUUCAGUUUUCCUCUUAAAUUCAUACAUAGCAUUAGUAGUAGUACUUCACCAACCUUUGUUUUAUUACCAUUGACGCAGGUCCAAGACCCAGCUGUGUUGAUACCAAUAUCCCUCUUUGUCAGUUACAAUUUUCACACUCUAUUAGAAUACUGGGGGGCUGGAUAUUCAAUCCGAGCAUGCUGGAACAAUUUGAGGAUGUGGAGAAUAACCGCAGUGACCUCAUGGUUAUUUGGAUUUUUAAGCGUCAUUCUGAAGCUCCUGGGGUUAUCGGAGACCGUCUUCGAAGUUACAAAAAAAGACCAAUCUACUACUCCUGGGGAGGGCAGUGACAAGGAUUCUGGUCGGUUCACCUUUGAUGGGUCUCUGAUUUUUGUUCCGGCCACUACUCUUUUGUUGGUGCACCUGAUGGCACUUGUUACAGCCUUGUUAGGACUAUUUGAUCUUGUCGGGAUUGAAUCAAGAAUAGGGGAGAUAAUAUGUAGUGUGUGGGUGGUGCUAUGCUUCUCGCCGUUUCUUAAAGGCUUGUUUGGGAAAGGAAAAUAUGGGAUACCCAAAUCCACUAUAUGCAAGUCAGCAGCUUUGGCGUUUCUUUUUCUUGCUUGCACUAUUACAGUAAGAAAAUGACAUUAGUAAAAACUAAAAACCGUAACAAUUUAUUAAGCAUAAUUGUUAGUCAAGUGUGUUAUGACAUGUAUUAUCCGGUUCAAUGUACGAACAAAUUAAUUUAUGCAAUUAUAAUGGCAGUUUGCUUUUAACCAUUGCCGUAGCGGCAGUACCUCCAUGAAUUGAAAUGAAGUAAUGAUCACAACCGUGAGUUUGAAGUAAUGAUUAGUGAAAAAAAGACGAGGAAAAAAAAAAGAAAAAAAAAUUACCUUUUAUCAUAUAUUCUCUUCAUUCUCCACUCAUUAAUAUAUAUGAAUAUGGAAGAUCAUGGGUUCCCUACAUCCCAAAAAAAAAGAGAUUAAUUUCAAGAAUAUAUUGAUUAAACCGAGGAAAAUAAAACACAUAAAAUAGAAAAUUAAGUGAUUUAAAUUCAAAAGAUCAAGUCAAAAUAGAAAAAAAUCUUAGAAAAGUAAAGUUGCAUGUUGAAAAUUAGGUUAUCAUUCUUGAUUAAUUUGCUUAGUUUUUGGAGGUAUGCUACUAGGACUCUUUCCUUUCUUCGUCUUAAUAUGAGACCUAUUACCUUUCUUAAUAUCCAAAAUUUGGUUUUAAGGUAAUUUGACAUACUCAUUAGAUUAUUAACAUGCGACUAAAUUUUUCAAAGAGCCUACUACUACAACACUUACUAGCAUUAUGUCUUAACCUCUUACAUGUAGUGCACUUAGGGUCUUGCUUAGAGUUAGAUUUCCCAUAAGAGGAACAAACUUCCUAUGUUUUUAUAAAAGUAGUCUUUUCACUUGUGGGAGUUUCACAUAUAAUUAUAUAUCCUAAACUUCUCUUGCCUCUAAACAUUCCCAUUUUGAAUCAUUUCAUUAAAAUUUUAGGGUGAAGAUGAAAAUUUUAUCAUGUCGACUUUCAAAGAUCUUUUUCCUAUGGUCUAACUUUGAGGUUAAGGAUUUAUUCUUUUCAAGUACAAUGUGAUAUUCAAAAUCAAGGAACCUAAUUUUUCCUUAGCAAAUUGUAAUGUUCACAAGUUGUGUCCCUAAUCUUAUUACCCAAAUUAGUUUUUUUAAGUCUCAUAGGAACUUAAUUUUUCAUUCAAUUCAUUUUUCUCAUAUUCAAGAUAUUUAAUGUGAGAAAUCUUUUUGUUUAAAAUAAUUUUAAGCUUAACUAUAACACCUUAUACCCUGAGGCCAAGGGCCCUACGGUCAUUCCAUAUCAAAUUGAAACCAAAACUAAAAUAAAAUAUCUAGCCACAAAUUCAAUAAUUUUCUCAAACACUUAAAUCAAAAUUCUAAAAAUUAAUAAUGAAUUCAAUCUUAAGUAAACAAUCCCAUAAAAAAAUUAAAAAAGAAAAAAAAUCAAUUCUAAAGUAGUUUAUAAUAGAAGCAUCUUUCCUAUCUUGAUUUUUCUUCAUUGAUGUCACUUAUACUUGAAAAUGGGAAUUAUAGAAAAGGGUGAACUUGAUAGCUCAGUAUAAAAAAUAAUUUAAUAAGAAUGAUUAAUAUAGUAUAAAAUUAAACACUGAGAGAUAUCAUUUUUUUUUUACGAAAAUCAAUUAGUGAGUAAUCUCUUUUAAUUCAAUAGUUUAGUUCACUUUCUUUGAAAAAUUUAACACUUUCUAUUGAAAGAUUAAACAACAUAAUGCACUUUGCAUAAUAAUUCAUAUAAAAAAGAAUUUUACAAACAAAGAUUUUACUCUAAUCCACUCACAAUAACACCAUGCCCAAAUAGUUGAAUUUGUAUUAGGUGGCUAGCCUCAAAAUGUUAUUAGUGAAUGGAACGGAUUCCAAUCCAUAGUAUACCAAAGGCCAAUAACACCCCUAUUAGCUAGGGUUGUGUUGUAUUAUUACCCUCACUAAGGGUAAUAAAGGUCAACAACUUAUCCCUAUUGACUAGAGCCACUUAGUGUUUCUAAAAUCAUUUUAAUUAAUUAGAAAAAAAGGUAAAAUUCACUUACAUAAUAAUCAAACAGAUCACAUGAUGUUACUAAUUUAUUUUAUGAACAAAACACAACAUAUUUCAAUAAAAUAUUACCUAAUCCACUUUACGAAAUUUAAACAAUUUUGAUACUUUACUAAAUAGAGGAAGACAAAUAAAAAGGUAGAAAAUAACUCACUACACUAUUAACCCUUACCUUGAAGAACCCACUUAAAUUCUUGAAAGAAUUAAUCCACACCUUUAAAUUAUAGAACGAAGCAAUAUGAAGCAAAUACUAAAACUUCUUCUUUCUAACUCUUCGAAUCAAAGUUCUCCGGAGACUUUUUUUUUCUUCUUUAUUUUGUGUUUUCAAUUUUUUGAUAAUAUGAAUAAUUCAUAACAAAAUAAAGUUGGUGGGCAAUUAAAGGGAGCAAAAAUAUCUCACUUAAUUUGUUUUUCAAUUUUUUAAAAUAUAUAAAUAUCCCUAAAUUCUCCUUCCUAAUCACUAGAUUCAAUAGAACUAAUUUUAGUACCUGAGGAUAGUGAAACAGUGAAGGCAAUAAGGUUAUUGUUAAGAAUAUUAGGCUAAUCCAACCUAUGGUAAUCACCCUAGAGGAAGGGUGAAAAGGGUGAUAGUCUCUUUUUGCAAAUUAAAACUAUGUAAAUGUAAGAGACAAUUAUAUGCAAGUAUAUAAUAAGCAAUAUAUAGACAAUUGCAUAUAAAUUAAAGAGUAGGGAAAAGAAAAUGCAAACACAAGAGUUUAUAGUGGUUCGGCGCAACCCGACCUACAUCCACUCUUCUCUAGCUUCAAUCCGAGCGUGAGGUUCCACUAAUUCAAGGCUUCCAAACCAAGCCUUCAAGUAAUACAAUUGAAUUAUGGUUCCAAUUCACCAUCUUGGACUUUUGGCUCCAAGCACCCUUUACACUUCUCAAGAGAUAUCCCACUCUUGAACAACUUCCUCUCAAUGAUUUACAAAUAAAAGAUCUCACAAAAAUCCUAACACAAGAACUUUAAGCUCAAUUGAUACAAGAAAACUAGGAUUGAAAGGUGCACUAAGGAUAUGCAAGUUUCAGAACAAUGGUGCACUCAAAAACACUCUUCUAAGGCUCAAAUAUAAUCAAGAAAGAUUUGGGAAGGUUAAGUUUUUUAAACAAUGAAGAUUGGAGCCUUUUUAUAGAAGAGAAAAGUCAAACUAGCCGUUUGGGGGUUCGACCAGUCGAGUUAGGGGUCGACCGGUUGACUAGCCGUUAACAUUUAAUGCUUGGCAGGUGACCGUUGGACCUCGACCGGACCUCAACCGGACCUCGACCGGACUUCAACCAGUUGAGGUUCAACCUUGACCGGUUGAACAACCGUUCUGGAAGAAAGAGAAAGUUUUUUGCACCCUCGACCGGUUGAACUAGGGGUCUACCCGGGCCUCGACCGGCUGAGCUGUGGGUUGACCCGGACCUCGACCGAUUGAGCUGGGGGUCGACCCAGACCUCGAUCGGUUGAGCUUGCGGUCGACCGGUUCCUCACCCGGUUCAACCGAUUGAGUCGUUUUUUGGCUCAACAACCACCUUUUUCAACUUAAAACCUUUUAAAAUAAGUUUGAAAGACAUUUAACACAAAGUUUUAGUUGAAAACAUGAAAUCAUCCAAUUCUUAAAAUAUUUAAAACAAAAUAACUCUUGAAUGAUUUUGGUGCAUAAGUAAAGAAUGUAAUGCAUGAAAAUCCUAGUGCACUAACAACCUUACAAAGAGAUCUUAUGAAGUUUGGAUCUUGAAAAACUUUUUUUUUUGAGGUGGUCUUCUUCUUCAUGAUUUCUCCUUGGCUUGAUUUGUCUUUGUGAUUGCCACUUUGGAAAUCGUCUUGCUUAAUCACACUUGAAAUAUAGUCAUUAGUUCUAAAGCUUAUUUUGUUAUCAUCAAAAUCAAGAUUAAUCAAACCUUGGUUUCACAGUUAUCAUUGUCUUUUUUUGUUGAUCUUCGUGUAAUAAUUCCUAGUAAAGAAAUUAAAGAAAAACAAAAGAAAACACGCACAGAUUUAAUGUGGUUAGGUAGAUUGCCUACGUCCAUGGGAACAAGGAAAAAGACUUUCACUAUAUUUCAAUUAAUGUUACAUAAAAGGGUAUUUAUACUAACCCUCAAGUAUUGAAAUUCCAAAAAUACCCUUGAACAGUACCACGGGGAGGCGUUGUCCCCCGUACCCCCCCAACCUAUCGUUUACCCUUAACAAUAAAAAUGCAAAAUUAAAUGGCAAAUGUCAUCGUUCUACUUCGACAUUUGCCCAUUUUUCUCCAUAUGUCUUUUACUCAAUAUGAGCCACAUAUAAUUCAAUUAAUACCUACACUCAUUUUUUUUUGUCCCUGAUGCAACAAUCCCUCAUUCUCCUUAAUGGAUCCCUUGAAACCCUUAUCAAAAUUUGCACUAUGUGUCUGUCAAACCUUUGUUGUUGAUGAAAGGUUCUUGUAAGAAAGAUUUGAAAGGUUUCAAAGAUGGAUGUACAAGCUUUAAAAAUAAUGAUAUUUUUUUAAGGUUUAAGGGUCCACCAAUUUUUAAUAAAACAAAUCUAUGUAUACUUGCAAAACCCUAAUAAUUAAUUAUGGGGAGUUUCUGAAUUUUAAACCACUUUAAAAAUGACUUUCUAGAGUCAGAAAUGAAGGGAGAGACAAAAAAUCAUCAACAAGAUGUUUGAAUGCUUGUGGGGGGAAAGGGGAAAGAAAGCUUAAAUGCCCUUGAGAAGCAUUUGAACACCCCUCAAUACAUUUGAAUGCUCACCUUUAAUUAUCUCUUUAUUUUUGCAAUAUUUCGAGCUUUUCUCCAUAUGUUUCAUCCCAAUUUCAUAUUUUAUCCAUUCCAUAAGUUUUAUCAACUUUAGAUGCAUACAUAUCUCAAAAAACAUUGACAUUGAAAAGAUUCAACGUUAGCCUUGAAGAAGUCUGAAGUUAAAUAGAAGUUGACAAGACCUAAGGAAGUAUGUCACGUCUAAUCAAUAAGAAAUAUAACAAAAUUGUCAACUAAAUCUAAUACAUCAACAAAUUCAUAUGAGAAGAAAUCAGUUCCCUCUUGUAAUACAAGCUUUGGUGUGUAGUUAAUCCUAUAUGAAUUUUUUAUAUUGUCUUUGAGGAAAGAAAAGUGGCUUUAAAAAUCACCUGUGGGGAUUAAGAUCAAGUGGUAUAUAUGUAUGUACGUAUGUAUGGAGAGAUAGAGAAAUCAACCUCCUUGUGCAAUUGCAUUUUCCAUAGUUAUUGUUGCAUACCAAAUGUUGUUUCAUAUGGUUCAUCUUUGAGACCAUACAAUCACUACCUACCCAAUUUGAAAUGAAACUCUAUUUUGGUAAUGCUUUAUCUAAGAAUGAAAAUAGUUGACAAGGAGUAGAGCAUGUAAAAACAUUUUCCUAUUUGAUUUAGGUUAAGGGUUAUCAAACACAUCCACCAUUCAUGUCUUCACACCUAGCUACUUUAUUGAGAAAAUUAAAAAAGAAAGAGUAGGUCCAAGAGAAAAAAUAAGUGUAUUUAACAUCAUCCUAGGUUAUUAAUAUAUAGUUAAUAAAAAAAAUUCGAAUUACCUUUAGAGAUGCCUAAGAAUCCCAAUUUGAUUGUUUCACAGACAAGUUUUCUACCCCAAGUCAUGCAUGGAACUAUAAAUGCAAGAACAACUCAAGAUUUUUAUAACACAAGAGCCUUGACCUUUGUUCUCAAGAAGAAAACUAAAAAACUUCAAGAGAGGACAUUUUUGGGAGAAACCUCUAUUAUGUUGUUAAUAAUAAUAAUAAUAAUAAUAAUAAAAAGAUACUUUCUUAAUCCAUUUUUCUCAUUAUUAUUAUUCUUUUCCAUAACUUUCGAUAGUUAAAAACUCCCAGAAAAUGCUUCGUCUACUUUUAAAAAUAUUAGAUGAGGUCGGGUUGAGCUAUAUAUAUAUAUAUAUAUAUAUAUAUAUAUAUAUAUAUAUAUAUAUAGACACACACGUAUGUAUGUAUGUAUGUAUGUAUGUAUGUAUGUAUUAUCCAAACUCAUGGAAUGACCAAUGUCUGACAUACAUUUGAUUAGGUUGUU
rnacentral:lncRNA from 1 species